rnacentral:rRNA from 1 species
UACGUAGGGGGCAAGCGUUGUCCGGAAUCAUUGGGCGUAGAGCGCGUGUAGGCGGUUCGGUAAGUCCGCUGUGAAAGUCGGGGGCUCAACCCUCGAAUGCCGGUGGAUACUGUCGGGCUAGAGUACGGAAGAGGCGAGUGGAAUUCCUGGUGUAGCGGUGAAAUGCGCAGAUAUCAGGAGGAACACCAAUUGCGAAGGCAGCUCGCUGGGACGUCACUGACGCUGAGACGCGAAAGCGUGGGGAGCAAACAGG